rnacentral:rRNA from 1 species
AUACGUAGGGGGCGAGCGUUGUCCGGAAUGAUUGGGCGUAAAGGGCGCGUAGGCGGCCUGUCAAGUCUGGAGUGAAAGUCCUGUUUUCAAGAUGGGAAUUGCUUUGGAUACUGAUGGGCUUGAGUGCAGGGGAGGUUAUCGGAAUUCCCGGUGUAGCGGUGAAAUGCGUAGAGAUCGGGAGGAACACCAGUGGCGAAGGCGGGUAACUGGACUGCAACUGACGCUGAGGCGCGAAAGUGUGGGGAGCAAACAGGAUUAGAUACCCUGGUAGUCCACACUGUAAACGAUGAAUGCUAGGUGUAAGAGGUAUCGACCCCUUUUGUGCCGGAGUUAACACAAUAAGCAUUCCGCCUGGGGAGUACGGCCGCAAGGUUGAAACUCAAAUGAAUUGACGGGG